CUACGGGGUGCUCCAGUGAGGAAUAUUGCGCAAUGGGCGAAAGCCCGACGCAGCAAUACCGCGUGAGUGAAGAAGGCCUUUGGGUCGUAAAGCUCUUUUCUGGGGGAAGAUAGUGACGGUACCCCAGGAAUAGGCACCGGCUAACUCCGUGCCAGCAGCCGCGGUAAUACGGAGGGUGCAAGCGUUGUUCGGAUUUACUGGGCGUAAAGGGCACGUAGGCGGCACAGCAAGUUAAGGGUGAAAUCCCGGGGCUCAACUCCGGAACUGCUCUUAAAACUGCUGAGCUAGAGAUGGUCAGAGGCGGGUAGAAUUCCUGGUGUAGAGGUGAAAUUCGUAGAUAUCAGGAGGAAUACCGGUGGCGAAGGCGGCCCGCUGGGGCCAUUCUGACGCUAAGGUGCGAAAGCGUGGGGAGCGAACGGGAUUAGAUACCCCAGUAGUC
rnacentral:rRNA from 1 species